ACAGAGUCUCGCUCUGUUGUCCAGCCUGGAGUGCAGUGGUUGGAUCCCAGCUCACUGCAGCCUCGACCUUCCAGGAUUAAGUGAUCCUCUCACCUCAGCCUCACGAGUAGCUGGGACUACAGGCACGUGCCACCACCUCCAGCUAAUUGUUGGUUGAUGUUGUUUUAUAGAGACAAGGACACCAAGCUUUGACCUCUGAACAGUAAGGACAUAGCACAUGGAGAACACACAGCCCAGCACCGGCGUGGGGGAGGCACUUCAUCAAAACUGCUCACUGCCGCUGUCACCAUGAUCACCAGCGUCAUCAAUGUGGCCCAGAUCCCCUGCUCGGCAGACAGCUCCCCCUUAUCCUUCUGCAGGCUCUGUCCUGCUGCCCCCGGAGCUGGGGGAACUGGAGGCAUGAAACAGACCUCCUCCUCUUUUACCCACUGGCAGAAAGGGACUUGGACAGACUGUCCUUUGGCAGACCUUGUUGGGCUCAAACUGUCCUCUCCUUCCCUUAUCUUUAGGGUAGGCAGGCGCAUGCGUACGCACCCCCCACCCCCAGCUGGGUGCUGUCUUCAGGGCUCAGCCUUCUAGUCCCUGCCGUUUCUGUGCUUCCUCACACACCAUUCUAGAAGACUGGUGCCUCUGAACACAUAUGCCUGGGGCUGUUUUCCAGGAGACCGCACCUGGCUUCCAGGGAUCAUCGAAUUCACUGCUGGAACCAAAUGAAGUGCUGCUGGGGACUUCUGAAGAUCUCAGGAGGACCUUCAAAAAGUCCUGGCACAAUUUUCAAAUUUAACCGCCAGUUGCUAGGAUUUAAUUCCAUUCCACAGAUGGUUGCCAUGCCCCACUCUCCCAGGAAACACAGUCCCCAAGAAGCCUCCAUAAUGCACGGCGUUCAGCACUGACGAUGUGUUUAGCAGCUGUGGCUGUGUCUCAGUUCACCGCUCAUUCUCUGAGCCCUUCCUGCAAGACCUGCCCUGGCCUCAGAACACGGAGGGAAGCAGAGGCUUCCUGUCAAUGGGCCAAUCAGCAGCCGACAGCCUGAUGGGGAGCCUGGACCAAACCUAAAGACAUUCCUAACAUGUUUAUUAAACGCCAGGACCAGAGGAGAAAUCUAGCAAGUUCCAGUGGGGCAGGACAGACGGGAAAUGGCACAAGAACUCAGAAAAGAGGAAGCUCUAUGACUUCCCUUACCCAGAAAUGCCUUCAUGCAACACGUAUAACAGCUAAUUUCAUUAAUACAUGAAGUGCUCUUACAAAUCAAUAAGAAAAAGGCAAAAAAACAAAAUAGGAAAGAGGGGGAAAAGAUAUGAGCAGGCAGUUCACAGAAAAUACAAAAGGUUUCAAACCUGUGAGUGAUGUUCAGUCCUCUAGUAAAAUAAAUAUAAAUCAAAACUAUGAGACAUAAACCAAAACUAGCUUUGGUUAUAUUUGAAAUUUUCCAUAAUAAAAACCUAAAAUUUUUUCAUAAGUUCAAAAGGUUAGCUUUAAGAGACAUAUAAAUAAUUGUCUUAUCUGGGUCUGAUACAAAUAAACUGUAAAUUUUAUUUUAUUUUAUUUUUGUGAGAUGGAGUCUCGCUGUCACCCAGGCUGGAGUGCAGUGGUGCAGUCUUGGCUCACUGCAACCUCCGCCUCCCGGGUUCAAGUGAUUCUUCUGCCUCAGCCUCCCGGGUAGCUAGGACUACAAGUGCACGCCACCAUGCCCGGCUAAUUUUUGUAUUUUUAGUAGAGACGGGGGUUUCACCAUAUUGGCCAGACUAGUCUCGAACUCCUGACCUCGUGAUCUGCCCACCUUGGCCUCCCAAAAUGCUGGAAUUACAGGCGUGAGCCACCACACCCAGCUUUUUUUUUUUUUUUUUUUUUUUUUUAAGAUGGUGUUUUUGCUCUUAUUGCCCAGGCUGCAGUAUGGUGGUGCAAUCUUGGCUCACUGCAACCUCCAACCUCCUGGGUUCAAGCAAUUCUCCUGCCUCAGCCUCCCAAGUAGCUGGCAUUACAGGUAUGCGCCACCAUGCCCAGCUAAUUUUUGUAUUUCUAUUAAAGACAGGGUUUCAGCAUGUUGGCCAGGCUGGUCUCGAACUCCUGACCUCAGGUGAUCCCCCCACCUCGGCCUCCCAAAGUGCUGGGAUUACAGGCUUGAGCCACCUCGCCCAGCCUAAAAUAUUUUUAAAGUAUAAGAUAAUCAGGGAAAUUUGAACACUGAACUUCAGUAACACUAAAAAGUUAUCAUUUGGCCCAGUGCAGUGGCUCGUGCCUAUAAUCCCAACACUUCGGGAGGCUGAGGCAGGAGGAUUGCUUGAGCCCAGGAGUUCAAGACCAGCCUGGGCAAUGUAGUAAGACCCUGUCUCUAAAUAAAAAUAAAUAAACAAAGUUAUUCACUUUUUUAGGUGUGAUGAUAGUAUCAAGAUUAUGUUUUUUAAAAGAGCCCUUAUCUUUUUGCUAUAAAUGCUAAAACAUUUAUGAAAGAAAUGAUCCAACAUCUCAGAUUUCCUUAAAAUAAUCUGAAGGGGGAAGUGGGUGGGGAAAAGAGAAAAAAAAAAACAUGCACAAUAAUUUCCCGUUUUCAUUCACCAGAAAGGCAAAGAAUCAAAAGCAUUCCCACACCUUGAUGGUAGGAGACUGAUUUGGAGUAACUUCUUUGAAGGCUGACUUGCCUUUAUCUGUAUAAAUUUACCAUUUGGCUUGGUAUUUCCACUGCCAGGAGUGUAACAUGCAGAUAAACUCACACUUGUGUUCAGUGACAUACAUCUAUGGAUAUUCACUGCAUCUUUAUUUAUAGUUGCUAAAAAUAAGAAACAACAGAAACAAACGAGGAUCUGGGCUGGUUAACAACUGAAGACACAGCCCCCAAAGGGAGUACCCAGAUAUAUUCAUAACGAUAUGAACAUCAAUCAAUGCCCAAAAUAUAUUAAGUAAAAAAUUAGAAAUCGGGGCCAGGACAAUGUGAAUAACAUUUGAAUUAAAAUAAAACAAUUCUGCCAGGAGCGGUAACUCACACCUGUAAUCCCAGCACUUUGGGAGGCCAAAGCAGGCAGAUCACUUGAGGUCAGGAGCUCAAGACCAGCCUGGCCAACAUGGUGAAACCCCAUCUCUACUAAAAAUACAAAAAAAUUAGCCGGGCAUGGUGGAGGGCGUCUGUAAUCCCAGCUAUUCAGGAGGCUGAGACAGGAGAAUCGCUUGAACCCAGGAGGUGGAGAUUGCAGUCAGUCGAGAUCGCGCCAUUGAACUCCAGGGGUGACAGAGUGAAGCUCCGUCUCAAAAACAAACAAAAACAACAAAGCAGUUCUGGUGCUACAGAUUGUGGGAAAAACAAAACAAAACAAAAGGGUGCUGUGGAUACCAAACAAAAGGGUGCUCCAGAUAGAGGCUUGUAGACACAGCCUCUAUCUGGAAGGAUUCAAAGGAACUCAGAAUCCACGCUUGCCUAGGGGGCCAGGGUAUUGGUGUUCUGGGGCCUGGGGGAUGGAAUAGGAAGGAGAUGUAUGCUCUUUACUCUACAUGAUUUUUUUUACUAUGUGCAUAUUAAUUUUGUUAAAGCUAUUGAUUAGAUCUAUUUUAUUAUUUACAGUCGUGACUCUGUAUGUGCCAGGGAUUGGUUCCCGGGCCCCCUCCACAGCAAAAUCUAUGGCUGCUCAAGUCCCUGAUAUAAAAUGUCAUGGUAUUUGCAUGUAACCUACACACACCCUCCCAUACACUUUAAAUCACCUCUAGAUUACUUAUAAUACCUAAUAAAAUGUAGAUGCUAUAUGAGAAGUUGUUAUACUAUUGUAUAACA
rnacentral:lncRNA from 1 species